AGUGGAUAUGAAAAAAAAAUGCUUAGAAUUUGUUUUUCUUGGUUUUGCUGUAUAAGAGAUUGAUUUUCAGUUGACAUGCUGAGUGUUCAUGUGAUCAUGAGAGAAGAAUGUAAAAGCUGGUGCAUUUGUUUGUUUAUGUUUAUGAGACUGCUUAAUUUCUCAAACCUAGUGAGCUGCCUAUGUAGGCAACAUUUUAAGGGCUUAUCAGUGCGGAGGCUGUUCUGCAACAAAACGAUGCUGUCUUCUAUCACAUGCAUCCUUUACCUGCAUUUAAAAAAAAAUUCCUCUGAGAUCGUGAAAUGUGUAGUAAUAUACUUAGUACUAAAUGAAAUGCUUCAAUAAAAGCAGCUGGCUAGUGAUAAAUUGACUAUUUUACCCAACAUUUUUAUGCCUCGAGUAUUGCAUUGAUAGUUUAGCCAGUGCCAAAAGUCUAUUGGAAUUGUGGUUUGUGCUCUAAUCUCUGGCAGAGUCCCGUACUUCGAGACGAGUGCUGCGAACGGUGAGAACGUGAGCCGUGCCGUGGAGGUUCUGCUGGAUCUGAUCAUGAAGCGCAUGGAGAGAUGUGUGGACAAAUCCUGGAUCCCCGACGGGAUGGUUCGCACCAACGGCCACAGCACCAGCAACCUGGCAGAGCCGCGUGACGCCGAGCAGAGCAAGUGCGGCUGCUAAUGCCAAUGGAUGGACUAAAGCCACCUAGAUUCAAGUCUUCACGUUUUGAGAGCACUUUACACCAAAUCCUGCAUUCAGAAGCCUUGAUGCGUCAGAUUAGAUGUGUUUCAAGGGCUUGAUUCCUCUCAGUUUCACUAUUAGUGCACAUCUAUUGUUAAAACUAGACCCAUGCGUGCAUCAGUGCAGUUCUCUGAUUCUGACAGUUGUUAGAAAAAUGAGUUUUGUGUUGAUUUCUAAAUGAAAACCCCACAUUAUAUCACUGAGAAUCUGAUUUUUUAAAAUAUAUGCAUGUUAAAAAAGAUAUUUUUUAAAAUAUUUGUUUAAAAUGUUUAUAUUUUAAAUAUAUACACAUAAAAUAUCAUUAAGAACCUGCCACCUUUUCAAAACAAUUAUGAAAAUAAAAAAAGCAUCAUAUGGUCUUGAAAUGGCAUGAAGAUUAAUGAUGAGAGAAUUGAUCAGUUCCUGUAAUAAUUUGUGCUGGUUGUCCCUCUCUAGUGGACUGAACAGCACUCACUUCUAUGUCACUUUUUAACAAGUUUGUAGAAUUUAACACUUUUAAAUGUGUUACUAUGUUAUCUGUAGUCAUGUAGAUGUCAGAGACAAGUAAAAUAAGUAUUUAGCUGUUAUUGUAUUCAUUUUUAGGUUAGUGGUUGAUUUGUAUUGUACGUUUGUUUAGACAUUCACCAGGUGUUGGUUGUGGUUUUUCUGUAUUUCCGGUCGCUGGUUCAUGAAGAUCUACUGCCAUUUAAACACAGGAUUUGAUUUGGAAUGUUGUUUAGAUUAAAUAUCCGCAUCUAUACUGUAAAUGAUGGUAAUAUUUCUCAAAAAAUGGUUGUACAGUGCCAGUAGAUUGCGCUCAUCUCAUCUCUUUACAGUCUCUCCAUUUCACAAAAGCAAAGCAAAUGAAUUUUGAGUGAAUGUUUUUAAUCUUCUGUGGACAUUUCGGUUUCGUUUACAGAAUCAUUUCCAAAGUGCUUUAUUCUACUGUAGUGCCUGUAACACUGAAUCAGUGCCAAACACGAUCUUUUGUGCCAAAUACUGAAACUCUAUUUGAAAAAAUAAAUAUAUUUUAUUAUUUAUUA